UGUUUCAACCUUCCAGUCACUUCGAACAUUACUAAUUACUUCCUGCUUUAUGUAUCGAUCAUAAACUACAUUAUUGAAAGAACGGGGGACAAUAAUUUUUUAGGGAAGUUUGUUUAAUCAUGUUCAUUCAGUGAACAAAACCUGUUAAUAUAGAAGUAAGAUAAGAUUGUAGAACUUGUCUGUUCACUUUAUUUUUUUCUAAUGUCAUCAAACUUGAUCGGAUUGACAAGAGAUUUUAAUUAUAGUUCAACUAUAAAAAUGUAGAACUACUUGUAGGUCAAAAAUGAAACCUAAUCCGUUCAAAUAACCUAAGAACCAACCGUUUCGACCCUUUAAUGAUGCCUGCAGAUAAUGACUAAUGGUCUAUUCAAGGGCCCGAUUCAUAGGGUUACAACAAAUCGAGAAAGAGAGAGGAUGACAAUUGCUGUUUUCUUCACUCCUGACCCAACCAGUGAAGUUAAACCAGCUGAAGGGCUUAUUAAUGAGAAAAAUCCCAAAUUAUACAAAAGUAUAAUUGAUUACACUGGUAACUAUUUCCAGUUAUUUCAGCAAGGGAAGAGGCCCAUUGAUACUCUCAAAGUUUGAUGCCAAAAGUUAUAUUUAAGGCUUAAAUCUGAGUUACUGCAGCUGAAUUUUGCGCCUGGCAUUGAGCAGCAGGAUGCAACUUUAUUAUAAUAUAUAUAGAAUUUCAAAGCCAUGGAAUAAUAAAGUUCAGAUGAUUUUACUAUUUGAUAUGUAUUUGGUAUUGGUGUGUUUGUAGAAUGUAACAAUUUACCGUGUGAUAUUCAAAUAUUACAUCCCCAUUUUGGGUAAACAAAAGAAUAAAAAAAGAAAUGUAUUUGCUAUUGCUUUA